CCAGGCCAGUCUCAAACUCCUGGCCUCAAGCAGUCCGUUUGUGUCAGCCUCCCGAAGUUCUGGGAUUGCAGGCUGAGCCACAAUGCCAAGCCAACCACACUGAAUUUUAAGUGCUUGCUUCAUUGUCUUAUCUUACCCACUAGAUUAUGAACCUUCUGAAGGUAAGAAAUGAUGCCUUUUCUUUCUUCAUCGAACAUAGUGCCACACCAAUAAGAAACAAUAAAUAUUGGUUCCAUAACUGAAUGGAUUAAUUCCAUCUCGAGGAAGGGCAAGGAAGACUUCCUCGAGGAGGUGACAUUUGAGCUGGGGCUUGAAGAAUGAAUAAAGUCAGUGGGAAUUCCAGUUCAAGAUACCAGAUUGAGGGCCGGCACGGUGGCUCAUGCCUGUAAUCCCAAAGUGCUGGGAUUACAGAGCCACCGCCCCCUGCCAAAGCAACACAUUUUAUACUGCAAAAACCCUUAAAGGUCUUAGGGGUUGGAAGCACCAGGUAUUUCUGGAACUGGGGGCACAAGUGGGGCUGAAAACAAAAGGGCUGGUUGAAUGUUUAAAAGUCAUAUUCUAAGAUCCCCUCCCUAACUGUGCAACCAGGUGCCACCUA
rnacentral:lncRNA from 1 species